AGCAUUACCGGUCAAUUGAAAAGCGGAGCGAUACAUACAUGUACAGAAAUAGUAUAUAUCAAAAUGCUGCACCCCGAGCUGGUCAGCUAUGGGUAACCUAGGUUGGUUUACUUUCUUUUGGUCCUUUGCCGGCUAGGGUCACAAGGCAAGGCGAAACCUCUUAA